UGAGGUGUUACUAACAUUGUCAAAGCAGGG
rnacentral:piRNA from 1 species